CUACAAAAGCCUGUGGGAACUAGUUACCUUGACUUUUUUGUCAACUUCAUCUCUUUUACGGUGUAGUUGUUCUGAUACAUUUGCAGAAGAGGUAUGUAGGAGAAAUGUGAUGAUAAACUUUUUUGAGCAAAUUUUUAAUGUGACCCACCACACAGAAACAAAUGUAAAGUAUAUGGUAAAAGAGUCACUCCUGUUGGAGCUGCAGCUAGGGUGAUGUUUUAAAGGCCACAGUGAAAGAUGCCUGGGGGCUUCAACAUCAUCUGCGGCCCCCACAGUGUGCCUCUGCAGAUCCUUGCACACAAUGUUACCCUGCUUCCCAAACCGCAGCUCCUAUCUGUAUCUGAACUGGCAGCUGUCAAAAAGCCUUUCUCUUACUGAUGGCUUUGCAUGGUUUCCACACCACACACAAAACAUAUACAUUCUCCCAUCUUUCAGAAUAUG